UCCUCGUUAGUAUAGUGGUAAGUAUCCCUACCUGUCACGCAGGAGAUGGGGGUUUGAUUCCCCAAUGGGGAU
rnacentral:tRNA from 1 species